CAAUUUCCACAGGAAAUACUUCCAUCUUUUCCACCCUUUUCUCAAGUUCAUACUCAGCUGAGGCUGCCACAGGGUCAACUUCUUCAUUACGUCUAUCAUAGUCUUCAUUUGAGCCCCGAGUGUUUUAUUCAACAUCACUGUAAGACAAAAAACAGUUACGGAUUGCAGCUGCAGCAGCCAUCUCCCUAAUCAAGAACAUGCAGUGCUGACACAAAGUUCAUUUACACUGGCCCACUAAAUUUCUGCAAUUUUUGUAUUUUGCCACUAAGACUACGUAGACAGGUAACUGCAAUCAUACAUUCAAAGAAGAAGUUGAGAGAAGAUCCAUGAUCUCCAUCUGUGACCUGGUUGUACUCCUCCACCAUCUCCUCCACCAGUUGAGGUGGCAUUGCUCUCUGACUGACAAAGAGACUGAAAGACUUCAAAAUAAAUAGGAUAUGAUCAAAAUACUACUCACAAUCAAAAAACUAGUCACAAUACCACACAAAAGGGGGCACACCCAAAAAAUCUUGGCUCCCUUGACUUUGCUUAUAAAGAGAGUGAUUCAAUUACAAACAUCCAUAAGCUUCACAGGUGUCUUGGUACCCCUCAGUUUACACCUGGUAAUCCACAUAGAUAUGUGUAUUUAUUUAGUAUUCACCAAAACAGAAAUCUUGACCUGAUCAAAUUUAAACAGCAAGCAAAUUGGUAUGGGGAACUUCAAAAGAAUAACAACUAACACAAAAAUAGUGUCCAUCUGACUGUUUUCUAAAGACCAUAAGAAGAAACAACAACAAAAUAACCCUGUUACACCCAAUCAACUCAAUUAACUGAUCUGCAUUAAUACUGUCAUUAGCAAUGAUCAAUACCCCAGAUUCAAAAAGGGUCAUCUCACUAUGCCAAGUCGCAUCAGAGGGUGAUAGAAGAAAAUGAUGGAGAAAUAAAUGUAAAGAAUUUGCCAUGUUGCAUAAUACUUUCCUACUCAAUAAAAAUAUAAGAACCCUGUAAAA